GUAGUAUUCCAUCCGUCCCAAAAUUCUUGUCUUACAUUUGUUUAGAUAUGGAUGUAUCUAACACUAAAAUGUAACUAGAUACAUUCGUAUUUAGAAAAAUUUGAGACAAGAAUUUUGGGAUGGAGGGAGUACAAA
rfam:Triticum aestivum genome assembly, contig: Triticum_aestivum_CS42_TGACv1_scaffold_129949_2BL